UAAGCGAUUGAUUAAAAUAAAUGAAAAAGAAAAAAUAAAAAAAAACAGCCAAUAGAAUUAUAACGUUUUUCCUCAGAAGCUCUAUAUGAGUGCCACCUCAGCAGAAAUCACUAAAGUGACUUCUCUUUUAAUGUAUAGGAGGAUUUGUACAAAACCCAUGACCCAAUAAAGUUAAGAGGAUUCAUCGUCACAUCCUCAUCAUCUCUUCUUCUUCUUCAUUGUCUUGUCCGUUUAAUAAAAGUUGCGUUCGACAUCUGCGUCUGAGAUUUGUUCAUAAGUUGAUUAAAGGGCUGUUCGUUUGGUUGCCACAGGUACCGGCGGCAGCGGCAGCGUUAACAUUCUGCGUCAACUCUUGUUCGUUUUGUUGACGCAGGAAGCUGCGUCCGAACGCUGCGUCCUGCGGCUGACGCCAAUAAAACCUACGGUAGCGAUAUAGUAUGCAGUAGCGUCAGUGGCAGCAGCGGCAUCAGCAACAGCGUUAGCGGCAUCGUCAGCGUCUGCGAAACAAACAACAACUGUUCUCAUUGACGCUGCCGCUGACGCCGAAAACGGCGGCAACCAACCGAACAGGACUUAAAUGAAAUGAAAACAAAAGACGCAGCGUCAAAAAAACGAAGCUUUCCGGUGUUGCUGCUGACGUCAAAAAAAAUAGCGACCAUUGUUCCUCAUUUCUCUCUCCUCUCUGCUACUGAAAUCAGAAACGCGGGCGUCACCUGUUCUUCUCUCUUUCUCUUUGGAUACCCUUUUUUUCUUCUAAAUUUUGAUCUGUAGUCGCUGCGGCAGCGUUCGUUUAAGAGGAUUCAUCGUCACAUCCUCAUCAUCUCUUCUUCUUCUUCAAUGUAGAUUUGGGGUUUGAAUCGGUUCAGUCUCUGAAUAACAGAAAGUAACCUUUGGUUUCCAUGAAGCAGUGAAUCUUCUUAUCAGUACAUCUCCCCAUAUUAACUCAGGCGAUCAUUAAUGCUUCGGAAUCGUUACACUUUAGCUAUUUCUUCAUCAUGUUAAACACUGAAACCCUUCAUCUCAGAUACAGCUCCCAACUCCGAACAAGAAGCUAAUGCUAUUCGCUCUCCAACUCGCGAUCCCCACCGGAAUCAGAACCCUAGGAUUUAUCUGAGCCACGGUGGUGCUUCUCCGCGGGUUUGCAAUCACUCUCAACGGUUCCGAUUUCUAGGACAUCACCGUCAAAGGCGCCAGAAUCUUCAACAUAAGCCAUGAGUUCGAGUGGCAGCACCAAGCCACGAUGGACCAUUGCCUGCGUCGGGAUCAGCAGCUUCCGCGCUCUCGGAUCAAACUCAGCCUCGCUUCUCAGAUGUCCACGAAUUCGAUCGACGGUGACAAGAGACUGCAAAGCGGCCACGUGGAAGAACUCAGACGUGCCUCUACGCGAGAUGGUUCUUCAUCUCCAGCACAGUGAAACGCCUCCUCUACUGGCUCCAGCUUCUCUCCGCAACGGCUUGUGUUGCUAUUAAGUAGUCUUACAAGCUCGAGGCACAACUACGGAGACGUUCAGAAAGGAGAUACGGAUAAGAGAAACAGACAAUCGGCUCUCAACAUAUUCUACUCGCUUGCCUAUAGGGAAUGGCGAAUCAGCGUUUGUGACUAGAGGGUGUGAGUUUGGUGUUACUAUCUAUGAAGAUGUUUUUGUAUGAUUCUUACUCCAAGUGUGUUAAUGAGAGUAUCUUUAAUGGUUUGAAGAUGGAUAUUGUGAGCUUUGGUAUGAAGCUCUUUGGAUCAAACUCUUCUGAUGAGCAGCUUAUCGGAGUUUAGGAUUCUUAGAUAGUUUGCAGUCAACGAACAGUCCUUGGAGGAGACACUUUAGAAGAUCAGAGUCAACUUCUUUGUUGUUGAAAGGGUUUACAAAUCAGAAUGUUGCUAACUUUACAGAGAAGUGAUAACAUGGUUGCUAACUUUUUUUGUUGUUACUCUUGUUCUAGUUACACAAACCAACCUUGUCCUUGCCUUCUUGUGGAUCCACGUUGGUAUUGCUUCGUCUUCAUGUAAGACCAUAACACAGCGAACUGAAACUUCUCUGUACGAUCUUGCCAAUGAAACGCCCAUAUAUAUAUAUAGCAAAAACCUUCUGCAGCCUGGAAUGGGGUGUGAUGCGCAACAUAGGUAACUCUGUCCUUGACCUGUUCUAGCACCACUAGAACCAUGUAAACGAGCGCACAUUUUCUGUAGAAUUCUUUCAGUAUCUUUUUUUCUUGGCUUUCCAUUCCAUAGACUUGCAGUACCAUAAGCUUAUUAUACCCAAGGAGCAAAGAAGAGUCUAGUGAUUCGUUGUGGUGUGUCUAAGAUUAGGUUCCAAGGGGAGGACAUGUACCAGCUUGCUUCAAACUCUCAAAGAAUCUGUAACUAACCUGACCCGACUGAAAGUAGCCAUUUUGGCCACGGAGAAUAACUUGUCCUGUAAUAUUCAGUGGCUGCUCAUCAUUAUGCCUUGAAAGGAGGGAUCUGAUCUUUGAUAGGAUCUGCGCACAAAAAGAAAGCACUUUGAGAUCUGUUAGAUGGUUUUCUAAUAGUUUUCUUUAGCACACUUUUGGCGUUAAAAUAAAUUACGUUCUUACUCUUUUAGAAUGGCAUUCCAUUUUAUUAUUUCACUACUUGUAUUCUGUGUUUGUACUGUAUGUUUUCUAGGCAUACAUGGAACGUUUUUUCAUCUAUGGAGAGAACAUUAUGACCCUUGUUUAA